CUGGGAGCUGCUGCUACCCUCCUGAUGGCCAGGGAGCAGCGUCAGCAUUCAGUAGAAGGCCGCUGCUCACUCUGGCUGCUGGCGGCCCUAACCUGCUCUCUCACACACCCUUACGUGCGCUCUAUACCUUGCGUGCGCUCUAUACAUAUAUUUAAAUAUGCUUCCUGACACUGCCCGGUAUGGUCAGCACAGCACCUGAGACUACAGGGUGUGGUCAGCACAGCACCUGAGACUACAGGAUGUGGUCAGCACAGCACCUGAGACUACAGGGUGUGGUCAGCACAGCACCUGACACUACAGGGUGUGGUCAGUACAGCACCUGAGACUACAGGGUGUGGUCAGCACAGCACCUGAGACUACAGGGUGUGGUCAGUACAGCACCUGAGACUACAGGGUGUGGUCAGUACAGCACCUGACACUACAGGAUGUGGUCAGCACAGCACCUGACACUACAGGGUGUGGUCAGCACAGCACCUGAGACUACAGGGUGUGGUCAGCACAGCACCUGAGACUACAGGGUGUGGUCAGCACAGCACCUGAGACUACAGGGUAUGGUCAGCAUAACGUGUAACAAUUUAACCAAUUAAAAAUGCUUGAGUUGAAGAGUUAAGAGCGAGAAGCUGGAGACUCAGGAUGAAAUAAGAACUGAGCGGCGGAGAUGCGAACCUUCAUCACGGGAGAAGGCCAUCAUUUGGACCUGAGAGCUCGUGUCCAUCUAAAAGACAUCUUAAAUAUGUGUAGUAUAAUAAAUCCCACACUGUUUGACUUCGAAAAAACACUUUUGCCAAAUAUAGACAGUGUCCCUGAAAGAUUCGCCCACUUCGCUCCCGCAAGAUAAUGUAAACUUGAGGUUGUAAGGUGUUAAUCUCUUGUUUGACAGUCAGUUCCUUUUGAGACAGUUAAGCGAGUGCCAGCUGCGUCUGGGUGUAAGUGACUGGAUGAGCAACCCAGCGGGGUUUCUUCCUAUUGAGGGAUUUGUAUGUGCUAUGUUCACUCACAGGAGGAUGACGUUGCCAUAUAAAAUCGCUGUCCCAGGCAAAUUGUAAAAGUUUAGGAGACAAUAAAUUAUGUUAAUCUC